GACGAACGCUGGCGGCGUGCCUAAUACAUGCAAGUAGAACGCUGAAGGAGGAGCUUGCUUCUCCGGAUGAGUUGCGAACGGGUGAGUAACGCGUAGGUAACCUGCCUGGUAGCGGGGGAUAACUAUUGGAAACGAUAGCUAAUACCGCAUAACAGUAGAUGUUGCAUGACAUUUGCUUAAAAGUUGCAAUUGCAUCGCUACCAGAUGGACCUGCGUUGUAUUAGCUAGUUGGUGCGGUAACGGCUCACCAAGGCGACGAUACAUAGCAGACCUGAGAGGGGGAGCAGCCGCCCUGGGACGGUGACACGCCACAUACUCACUGGGGAGGCAGCCGUAGGGAUACUGCGGGAAUGGGUGGAAGUCUGAGCGCGAAACGCCGAGGGAGUGAGGAAGGGUGUCGGGUCGUAGAGCUCGGUCGUAAGAGAAGAACGCGUGUGCGAGUGGAAAGAUGACACUGUGACGGUAUCUUACAAGAAAGGGACGGCUAACUACGUG
rnacentral:rRNA from 1 species